rnacentral:rRNA from 1 species
AUUGAACGCUGGCGGCAGGCCUAACACAUGCAAGUCGAACGAGUGGCGGACGGGUGAGUAAUGUCUGGGAAACUGCCCGAUGGAGGGGGAUAACUACUGGAAACGGUAGCUAAUACCGCAUACCAUCGGAUGUGCCCAUAUGGGAUUAGCUAGUAGGUGGGGUAACGGCUCACCUAGGCGACGCUCCCUAGCUGGUCUGAGAGGAUGACCAGCCACACUGGAACUGAGACACGGUCCAGACUCCUACGAGAGGCAGCAGUGGGGAAUAUUUCACAAUUGGCGAAAGGCUGAUGCAGCCAUGCCGCGUAACUGAGGAAGGCCUGCGGGUUGUAAAGUACUUUCAGCGGGGAGGCGUGACUCGCAGAAGAAGAACCGGCUAACUCCGUGCCAGAAGCCGCGUUAAUAC